rnacentral:snRNA from 1 species
CCUUGAAAAUCUAUUUUCCG